AACAAAUCUUGAUUCACCACCCGCUCUUGAUUUGAUUAAUAUUUCACCUUAGUUAGUGGAGUAGUGAAGUGGCCAGGAUCUUCAUAUACAGAGGUUUUUAGAGAUGCAGUAACUGAAACUAAAGGAGUUGAAGCAUUCCAUUUAUUUGACAAUUAUUCUUUGUGGUACCACCCUAGAUCUAUCUGAGUCCAGAGCCCAUUCUUUUUCUACUACAGCAUGUUACUGAGAAGAGACUGGUUGAAGAUUAGUAAGAAAGGAGUAGAUGAUGAAAUAAGAUCUCUGAAGAAGCUGAAGGAGACGAGACUCAGAGCACUUAUAACGAUACUGGCCUUGAAUCACCGAGGACUAUCUUCGUCUCUGACUGAAAAUC